rnacentral:rRNA from 1 species
CCUUGUACACACCGCCCGUCGCGCCACGAAAGCUGUUUGUACCCAAAGUCGCUUAAGCUAACCCGCAAGGGAGGCGAGUGCCUAAGGUAUGGGUAGUGAUUGGGGUG